UCAUUUAUCGAGUAUAUAUAAUUUCUUGAUCCUUCUCUCCGGGUCUUCAUCCGUCGGCCUUCAUUGAAGACCUCGUUCCAAAUCAUUCGUUGGGAACCCUCCGACAUUCUUUUAAUUGAGUUCCACAGGAGAGGGAGGGAGCGAUAGGAAGAUAUAAAUGGAGAGGAUCGUGGGAGAGAAGUACAAAUUAGGUCGCAAAAUAGGCAGCGGAUCGUUUGGUGAAAUUUUUCUUGCGACCCAUAUCGACACCUGUGAAAUCGUCGCCGUGAAGAUUGAAAACCGCAAGACCAAGCAUCCGCAAUUGCUAUAUGAGGCCAAGCUAUAUAAUAUUCUUAAAGGAGGAAGCGGUAUUGCAAACAUGAAAUGGUGUGGAGUAGAUGGAGAAGACAAUGCCCUCAUCCUUGACUUGCUGGGACCAAGUCUUGAAGAUCUUUUCGUCUAUUGUGGAAGGAAGUUCUCCCUGAAAACGGUUUUAAUGUUGGCUGAUCAUAUGAUUACAAGAAUAGAGUAUGUGCAUUCUAAAGGGUAUUUGCAUAGAGACAUCAAACCAGAUAACUUCCUCAUGGGUCUUGGCAGGAAAGCAACUCUGGUCUAUAUGAUUGAUUUUGGACUUGCAAAAAGAUACCGAGAUCCGACAACAAAUAAGCAUAUUCCUUACAGAGAGAACAAAAACUUGACAGGGACUGCACGUUAUGCAAGUUGCAAUACUCAUUUGGGAAUUGAACAAAGCCGUCGGGAUGAUUUGGAGUCACUUGGCUAUGUUCUCCUGUACUUUCUAAGAGGAAGUCUUCCUUGGCAGGGUCUAAAGGCUGCAGUAAAAAAGCAAAAAUAUGACAAGAUAUGUGAGAAGAAGUUAUCGACUCCUAUUGAGUUCCUGUGCAAGUCACAUCCUGUGGAGUUUGCAUCAUACUUCCAUUAUUGCCACUCUUUGACUUUUGAUCAAACGCCUGAUUAUGGAUUCUUGAAGCGCCUGUUUCGUGACUUGUUUACUCGAGAAGGAUAUGAGUUCGAUUAUGUAUUUGAUUGGACCAUUCUAAAAUACCAGCAGACACAACGGACAAAGACGCAGGCUCAAUCAACUCCAGUUGGAGUGACUGGCAGGCUACCAAUGCCGAUGGAUGUGAAUAAGCAUAUAGGAAUUAAGGAUGCGUCUUAUUCAGCUCAGGUUACAAAGCCUGGGGGAGCAAGUAAGCAUACACAUCAAGAUGUUCAUAUGCAGUUUAGAUCAUCUACAAGUCGCAAUUUUGGUGUUCCAAACCCAGUGGAGGAACAUACAGUGAGAAAUGUGCUGAUGCCAUCUACUUCAUCUGCUCUGCCAAGAGCUUUAAAAAGUAAAUUUGCCGCACCUGAGGGUCCAGCACAAACUGUUUACAUGGGUCGUGGACUCGGGAAUGGAACUGGUGCUUCAAGCAGCUGGAUGGCAUCAUUAAAACGAAAUUCUUCAACCAAGUAACCGCUAUGGAUCUGAAGUAUUGCACUCAAAGAAUGCACACCGAUGGCAAAAGUGACAUAGUUUCAAUUGAUUGAGGUCUUCCAUUGCCAGAUCGUAUAAUCUGUUUUUUUAUGCGAGGGGACUAGAAAGUAUAAACGCAUUGGAUGUUGCUAGGACUGGAUUUGUCGAUGCUUGGCACUAAGCAUUCCAAAGCAUUGGGUUUCUGCAUGCAUAGGAUGAGUAGCUUUCUGUUCUUAUUGCUCUAUCUUUUUUGGAUCAAACCCUGGAUGUUGACCUGGAUAAGUUUGAACCCAGGUUCCCAGGCCCUUCGGAAUUUAAAAAGUACUGUAAGAUGUUCUUUCAGAUUUUUAUAUUUGAACAGUACGAAAGGAAGUUGUUCUUCGGAACUCUUGAUGUGAAAUGAAGAUGGUAUGUAGGAAUCUGUCUAUCAAUUUUUGAGGCUUUGGAUCUUAGUGGCUCCGAGGUAACUAGUGUAGUUGAUGUUGUGAGGGCUGAACUUGCAUCAAGUCCAUUUCUCACUCCCUCUCUCCCCCCCCCACCUCUUUCUAUUUUUUCACCUUUUGGCCAAGGAAUAGAUCCUAAUCAAUAAAAGAUACAAUAUUUUAUACUUGUGGAUAUAUUUCAUCUUACAUUCAAGAUGUGAAAAGAGGUCCUGUUGUCUUCAAGCAAAAGCCAUUGUGGACUCUUUCUUGUCUACGUGUUUUGUUUCCCUUUUUAUACUGUCAUCCCUCUAUUACAUUUUCUUUUUUAAAUAUAGUCUCAACACAUUGGCUCGGCAUCUUCCAGAUAUUUUGUUUCAUUGGAUCUUUUCCCAGUCUUUUUCCUUCCCCAUUGGCCGAUAUGCUCUGCAAUUUGAUGUUCUAUUCAGUUAACGAAAUGAUACACAACAUUGGAUGGUUCUUAUAUUGCGGAGCUUUAUGUAAGGGAAAUCAAAUAUCAUUUUAGAUAUCACUUUCUUACCAUUCAUAAAAUGGGAUUGGGAGACGAGUCUAUUCUUCAGUGGGCUAUUAGUUUAGGUGAUGAGCCACGACAUGGUGCCUGAUAAUGUGGAAUCCAUAAUGGUUGAGUAAUUAUUAUUUAUUGGGGGGGUAUCAUCAUGGUUGAGUUAUUGGACAAGCAAUUAUUUCUUCUGAUUAAUUAUUUUUUUCAAUUCUGAUUAUGAAUGCAUUUUCGUAAAGCUAUUGAUGAUUGUUGAGAGUUUAUUUUUUCAUUU